GGACCUGAUAUCAGGCAAGAUUACCCGCUGAACUUAAGCAUAUUAAUAAGCGGAGGAAAAGAAACUAACAAGGAUUCCCCUAGUAACGGCGAGUGAAGCGGGAAGAGCUCAAGCUUAAAAUCUCCGUGCAAGUUUUGCGCGGCGAAUUGUAGUCUAUAGAGGCGUGAUCAGUGUGGGCGCUUGGGGCAAGUUCCUUGGAAGAGGACAGCAUGGAGGGUGAUACUCCCGUUCAUCCCUGAGUUGCUCGUGCGUACGAUCCGUUUUCUUUGAGUCGCGUUGUUUGGGAAUGCAGCGCAAAGUAGGUGGUAAAUUCCAUCUAAAGCUAAAUAUUGGUGCGAGACCGAUAGCGAACAAGUACCGUGAGGGAAAGAUGAAAAGAACUUUGAAAAGAGAGUUAAAGAGUACCUGAAACUGCUGAAAGGGAACCGAAUCGUUUCCAGUGUCUAUAAUCCGUGGUAUAUUUCAUUGGCGAGUGUGUGCGUGCGUGUGCUGUGGCAGCGGCUUUUUUGGCUGCGCUCGGCGUGUGUGCUGUGUGUGCUUGCUGGUGCCCUGUGCUGCGGUGGGACGUCAAGGUCAGUUCGUAUGCUGCGGGAAAUGGCCGCCGAGGAAGGUAGGGCUUACGCUUGCGUUUGUCUGUUAUAUCUUGGUGACGAGUAGUCGCGGUUGGGACUGAAGUGCCUACAACGUGUUUUUGAGUGGGCCUGUGUCUCUGUGUGCGCCGUGUGCGGAUAGCUUGCUAUGCGUGUGUGGUUGUGUGUGGAUUGAUGUGGGUUUUAACUUGUUGCCGUUCGGGACGUUGACGAAAUGGAGCGAUUUGACCCGUCUUGAAACACGGACCAAGGAGUCUAACAUGUGUGCAAGUGUUAGGGUGUGGAAACCCCAGCGCGAAAUGAAAGUGAAGGGCAGCGUAAGUUGUCUGAGGUAGGAAAUGCUGCGGGCUUCGGUCUGCGGUGUGGCACUAUCGACCGAUCAUGAACCUUCGUGGUGAAAGAUUUGAGUUUGAGCACAUAUGUUGGUACCCGAAAGAUGGUGAACUAUGCCUGAGUAGGGUGAAGCCAGGGGAAACUCUGGUGGAAGCUCGUAGCGAUUCUGACGUGCAAAUCGAUCGUCAAACUUGGGUAUAGGGGCGAAAGACUAAUCGAACCAUCUAGUAGCUGGUUCCCUCCGAAAUUUCCCUCAGGAUAGCAGCAACUUAUUUACGAUAGUUUUAUGAGGUAAAGCGAAUGAUUAGAGGAUUCGGGGAAGAAACUUCCUCGACCUAUUCUCAAACUUUAAAUCUGUCAGACCUGCAGGUUUCUUAAUUGAACUUGUGGAUAAUGAAUAUCAAGUUGCUAGUGGGCCAUACGGGGUAAGCGUGGG
rfam:Phytophthora infestans T30-4 supercont1.3450 genomic scaffold, whole genome shotgun sequence.